AGUAUGAUUAUGCGCUCACUGCUGAACGCUAGCGGGCAGGCCUAACACAGUGCAAGUCGAAUCGGGAUUGAGAGCUUGCUCUCAUGAGAGUGGCGCACGGGUGAGUAACGCGUAUGCAACCUGCCUAUAACUGAGGGAUAGCCCAUAGAAAUGUGGAUUAAUACCUCAUAGUUCUUGUUCUGUCCGCAUGGACUGAAUAGAUAAAGCUCCGGCGGUUAUAGAUGGGCAUGCGUGACAUUAGUUUGUUGGUGAGGUAACGGCUCACCAAGACUACGAUGUCUAGGGGUUCUGAGAGGAUGAUCCGCCCACACUGGUACUGAGACACGGACCAGACUCCUACGGGAGGCAGCAGUGAGGAAUAUUGGUCAAUGGGCGCAAGCCUGAACCAGCCAUCCCGCGUGCAGGAUGAAGGCCCUAUGGGUCGUAAACUGCUUAUUAUACACCAAGAAAAACACCCACGUGUGGGUGCCCGACGGUAGUGUAUGAAUAAGCAUCGGCUAACUCCGUGCCAGCAGCCGCGGUAAUACGGAGGAUGCAAGCGUUAUCCGGAUUCAUUGGGUUUAAUAGGUGCGUAGGCGGCUUACUAAGUCAGUGGUGAAAUCUUGCCGCUUAACGGUAAAAUUGCCAUUGAUACUGAUAAGCUUGAGUACAAUUGAGGUAAGCGGAAUGUGUAGUGUAGCGGUGAAAUGCUUAGAUAUGUGCCAGAACACCGAUUGCGAAGGCAGCUUACUAAACUGUUACUGACGCUGAUGCACGAAAGCGUGGGGAGCGAACAGGAUUAGAUACCCUGGUAGUCCACGCCGUAAACGAUGAUCACUCAGCGUAUGCGAUACACAGUAUGCGGCCAAGCGAAAGCAUUAAGUGAUCCACCUGGGGAGUACGAUCGCAAGGUUGAAACUCAAAGGAAUUGACGGGGGCCCGCACAAGCGGAGGAACAUGUGGUUUAAUAUCAUGAUACGCGAGGAACCUGCACUGGGCUUAAAUGGGGAACGACAGCUGCCGAAAGGUGGCCUUCUAUCGACGUUCUUCAAGGUGCUGUCAUGGUUGUCGUCAGCUGCCGUGAGGUGUCGAGGUUAAGUCCCAUAACGAGCGCAAUCCCUUAUCGUAUAGUUGCCAGCGGGUCAUGCCGGGGACUCUAGCGAGACUGCCACCGUAAGGUGUGAGGAAGGUGGGGAUGACGUCAAAUCAGCACGGCCCUUAUGUCCAGGGCUACACACGUGUUACAACUGCCAACUACAAACGCAGCUACUUGGUGACAAGAUGCUAAUCUCUAAAGUUGGUCUCAGUUCGGAUCGAAGUCUGCAACCCGACUUCGUGAAGCUGGAUUCGCUAGUAAUCGCAUAUACAGCCAUGAUGCGGUGAAUACGUUCCCGGGCCUUGUACACACCGCCCGUCAAACAAUGGAAGCUGGGGGUACCUGAAGUCUGUAACCGCAAGGAGCGGCCUAGGGUAAAACUAGUAACUGGUGUUAAGUCGUAACAAGGUAACAUC
rnacentral:rRNA from 1 species